rnacentral:rRNA from 1 species
AUACGGAGGGGGCUAGCGUUGUUCGGAAUCAUUGGGCGUAAAGGGCGCGUAGGCGGCCAGGCAAGUCGGUCGUGAAAUCCCUCGGCUUAACCGAGGAACUGCGGUCGAAACUGCCGGGCUUGAGUCCCGGAGAGGGUAGUGGAAUUCCCAGUGUAGCGGUGAAAUGCGUAGAUACUGGGAGGAACACCAGUGGCGAAGGCGGCUACCUGGACGGGUACUGACGCUGAGGCGCGAAAGCUAGGGGAGCAAACAGGAUUAGAAACCCGGGUAGUCC